rfam:Nestor notabilis contig1203, whole genome shotgun sequence.
CCAAAGGCUCUUUUCAGAGCCACCCACUAAGUCAUUAAGGAGCUA